rnacentral:lncRNA from 1 species
GUUAGGUCCUUAUAUAGGGAUAAUUAAGCUAGGAGGGGGGGUUGAAUAGCUUAAUCACCAGUUUAAAAACUUUAUGGCGUUUUAAAAAGUUUAUCCCCUUUUUAAAAGCUUGUAUCUAGAGUAAUGGCAGUUGUAAAUGCGGAAGCAAAGAGCAAAGAAAGAAAAAUACCACACGAGGGAUUUUAUCCUGGUUCGCGGUGGCUAACUCAACCGAUGGAGUCCACUCACCCCUAGUCCAGUCCCCGAGCUCCUCCCCGGACUCGAGAUUUUCUCUACUAAAAAGAUACUCCUUUAAAGUAGGCGGAGAAGCCUUUACAAAUAUAUAUCUUGGAGCGUAACUUCCCGUUACCCCCUCACUAUAAAUGUAAAAACACCUACAAAGCUUGUCUUGGAACGUAACUCCCCGUUACUUCCUCAAAGUCGAUGUAGAACCUUGUGUAGUCUUUGUACUUCUACACCUUUUGCCGGUCUCGGGUCUUAGGUGUUAGAUCUCGGGUCUUUCCUCUUCUUCACGGUGCAAUGACUAUUAACUCCCCGUCAAUACGUC